CAGCCUCCCACCACCCUCCCUUGCCUUUCUCCUUUCCCUCCCAGACCCAGACUGGCCUUCCCACAAGAGACAGCCAGCGUUUCCUGAAUUAGAAAAGGGCGCCCCCUGGAGGCCUGAAGGCUCCUUCCCACGGGACCGGGUGGACAGGCCGCUCCUACUGCGGGACGGAAACCAGGUGUCCCCAGCCGGGCGCCUUGCACACACACAGCCAGCCUGUUGCUCAGCAGCCCUGCGAACAUUACAAAACAGCCCAGCUACAGAAUAACUCCAGUUUGGCCUCCAGUCACAACUGAGACUUCAGUGAUCCAGUGAUGCUGUGAUUGUCCAGGACAAGAAACAUCCUGGGAGAACAAACAUCUGCUCAGUUCCUCAUUGUUCUUGGACUGAUUAACAUCUUGUUUGCCGGAGAUGUACUGAACUCUCUGCAAGCCUUCCGUUACACCUUGUUUAUCCCAAUGUGAACUAUUGAACUCUCUGCAAGUCAUUUGUUACACCUGUUUCUCCCGAUGUACUGAAUAAAAGGUGUGGUAAGCUGGGGGCUUUGUCUUUGCUGCCCAGAGCAGCACUGAUCAGACCCAAAGCUCAGCUUCUCAGUCUCAUUUUUCUACCUUUCCUGUCAUUCGCCGUGUGCUGCCGUGGCUCGCAGGAGACCAGGACUGACUGCAGAGGUUCUGGUAACGUCCCCUUCCCCUGUCCCCUACAGUCAGCGCUUUGACUGUCCUCAGCAUCUGUCAUGUUGGGUGUGUGCUCAGUAAAAUUUGGAGUGAAUAAAAAGGUAUGAAAGCAGGAAAGAAGAAAGAAUGAGACGGAUUGAGCAAGGGUAUGAG
rnacentral:lncRNA from 1 species